GAUGACCCGGUCCCUUACUAGUGGGAGGUAAGGUCCCCAAGCACGAUGGUAGCGACUGAGAGGGAUCGCCCCAUGGACUAGCCCGGCCCGAUUCUCGGGAGCAGCGUAGGAAUCUUCGCAAUGACGAAAUUUGACGAGCAACCCGCUGAGUAUGAAGCUUUCGGUCGUAAACUUGUUGUAGGAAGACAAUGCUAGUGAAUAGCUGCACUUGACGGUCCUUACCAGAAGCCCGGCUACUUCGUCCAGCAGCGCGGUAUUCGUAGGUGCAAGCGUUUUCCGAAUAUUGGCGUAAACGGCGCAGGUGUUUCUUAGUUUGAUGGAAAGCCCCGGCUCAACGGGAAGGUCAUUGAAACUGGAGACUGAGUCAGAAGAGGAAGGGAAUUCAUGGUAGCGGUGAAUGCGUGAGAUUGGAGGACACCAGUGCGAAGGCGACUUUUGGUCUGUAAUGACACGAGGCGCGAAAGCGUGGGAGCAACAGGAUUAGAUACCUGGUAGUCCCGCCGUUACGAUGAGUGCUAAGGGUAGAGGGUUUCGCCCUUUAGUGUGAAGUUACGCCUUUAGCACUUCGCCUGGGGAGUACGGCCGCAAGGCUGAAACUCAAAGGAAUUGACGGGGGCCCGCACCAGCGGGGAGCCUGUGGUUUAAUUUGAAGCAACGCGAAGAACCUUACCCGGUCCUGACCUCCUUUGACCACCCUAGAGAUUGGGCUUUUCCUUUGGGAGCCGAGUGACCGGUGGUGCCUGGUUGUUGUCAGCUUGUGUUGUGAGAUGGUGGGUUAAGUCCCGCAACGAGCGCCACCCUUGAUUUUUGUUGCCCUCCUUUAGUUGGGCCCUUUAAGGUGACUGCCGGUGACCAACCGGA
rnacentral:rRNA from 1 species